rnacentral:rRNA from 1 species
UCCCAGACUCCUACGGGAGGCAGCAGUGGGGAAUAUUGCACAAUGGGGGAAACCCUGAUGCAGCGACGCCGCGUGAAGGAUGAAGUAUUUCGGUAUGUAAACUUCUAUCAGCAGGGAAGAAAAUGACGGUACCUGACUAAGAGGCCCCGGCUAACUACGUGCCAGCAGCCGCGGUAAUACGUAAGGGGCAAGCGUUAUCCGGAUUUACUGGGUGUAAAGGGAGCGUAGACGGUAUGGCAAGUCUGAUGUGAAAACCCGGGGCUCAACCUCGGGACUGCAUUGGAAACUGUCGGACUAGAGUGUCGGAGAGGCAAGUGGAAUUCCUAGUGUAGCGGUGAAAUGCGUAGAUAUUAGGAGGAACACCAGUGGCGAAGGCGGUCUGCUGGACAGCAACUGACGCUGAGGCGCGAAAGCGUGGGGAGCAAACAGGAUUAGAUACCCCAGUA